GCCCGUUUGGCUCAGCGGUAGAGCGCCUCACUAGUAUUCCUAGCUAUGAGGAGGCGACUGGUUCGACUCCAGUAAUGGGCA